rnacentral:rRNA from 1 species
UUAAGUGAAGAGAUGGAAAGCGGCGGACGGGUGAGUAACGCGUAGGCAACCUGCCUUAUGCAGAGGGAUAGCCAUUGGAAACGAUGAUUAAAACCUCAUAAUGCCAUUUUAUCACAUGGUGAGAUGGUCAAAGAUUUUAUCGCUGAUAGAUGGGCUCGCGUCCGAUUAGAUAGUUGGUGGGGUAACGGCCUACCAAGUCGACGAUCAGUAGCCGGACUGAGAGGUUGACCGGCCACAUUGGGACUGAGAUACGGCCCAGACUCC